rnacentral:rRNA from 1 species
AUUGAACGCUGGCGGAAUGCUUUACACAUGCAAGUCGAGCGGCAGCGCGGGGCAACCUGGCGGCGAGCGGCGAACGGGUGAGUAAUGCAUCGGAACAUGUCCAUGUCGUGGGGGAUAGCCCGGCGAAAGCCGGAUUAAUACCGCAUACGCCCGAGAGGGGAAAGCAGGGGACCGCAAGGCCUUGCGCGAUUGGGUUGGCCGAUGUCCGAUUAGCUUGUUGGUGAGGUAAAGGCUUACCAAGGCGAUGAUCGGUAGCUGGUCUGAGAGGAUGAUCAGCCACACUGGGACUGAGACACGGGCCAGACUCCUACGGGAGGCAGCAGUGGGGAAUUUUGGACAAUGGGGGCAACCCUGAUCCAGCCAUUCCGCGUGAGUGAAGAAGGCCUUCGGGUUGUAAAGCUCUUUUGUCCGGAGCGAAACGGUAUGGGUGAAUAUCCAUGAUACUUGACGGUACCCUCAAAGGAAGCACCGGCUAACUCCGUGCCAGCCGCCGCGGUAACAC